GCUAAACGCGAAGAACCUUACCGGGGCUUGACAUCUUUCUGACCGCCUGGGAAACCAGGUCUUCUUCCUUCGGGAAGACGGAAAGACAGGUGGUGCAUGGUUGUCGUCAGCUCGUGUCGUGAGAUGUUGGGUUAAGUCCCACAACGAGCGCAAUCCUUGUCCUUAUUUGCCAGCCUGUUUACAGGCGUACUUUAAGGAGACUGCCGUAGAUAAUACGGAGGAAGGUGGGGAUGACGUCAAAUCCUCAUGCCCCUUACGUCCCGGGCUACACACGUGCUACAAUGGUCUGUACAGAGGGUAGCCAAGAAGCAAUUCGGAGCCAAUCCCAAAAAGCCUGUCUUAGUCCGGAUUGGAGUCUGCAACUCGACUCCAUGAAGCUGGAAUCGCUAGUAAUCGCAGAUCAGCAUUGCUGCGGUGAAUACGUUCCCGGGUCUUGUACACACCG
rnacentral:rRNA from 1 species